GACGAACGCUGGCGGCGUGCUUAACACAUGCAAGUCGAACGCUGAAGCUUGGUGCUUGCACUGGGUGGAUGAGUGGCGAGCGGGUGAGUAAUACGUGAGUAACCUGCCCUUGACUCUGGGAUAAGCCUGGGAAACUGGGUCUAAUACUGGAUACGACAUGUCACCGCAUGGUGGUGUGUGGAAAGGGUUUUACUGGUUUUGGAUGGGCUCACGGCCUAUCAGCUUGUUGGUGGGGUAAUGGCUCACCAAGGCGACGACGGGUAGCCGGCCUGAGAGGGUGACCGGCCACACUGGGACUGAGACACGGCCCAGACUCCUACGGGAGGCAGCAGUGGGGAAUAUUGCACAAUGGGCGGAAGCCUGAUGCAGCGACGCCGCGUGAGGGAUGACGGCCUUCGGGUUGUAAACCUCUUUCAGCACGGAAGAAGCGAAAGUGACGGUACGUGCAGAAGAAGCGCCGGCUAACUACGUG
rnacentral:rRNA from 1 species